GAUGAACGCUGGCGGCGUGCCUAAUACAUGCAAGUCGAGCGAACAGACGAGGAGCUUGCUCCUCUGACGUUAGCGGCGGACGGGUGAGUAACACGUGGAUAACCUACCUAUAAGACUGGGAUAACUUCGGGAAACCGGAGCUAAUACCGGAUAAUAUAUUGAACCGCAUGGUUCCAUAGUGAAAGACGGUUUUGCUGUCACUUAUAGAUGGAUCCGCGCCGCAUUAGCUAGUUGGUAGGGUAACGGCUUACCAAGGCAACGAUGCGUAGCCGACCUGAGAGGGUGAUCGGCCACACUGGAACUGAGACACGGUCCAGACUCCUACGGGAGGCAGCAGUAGGGAAUCUUCCGCAAUGGGCGAAAGCCUGACGGAGCAACGCCGCGUGAGUGAUGAAGGUGUUCGGAUCGUAAAACUCUGUUAUUAGGGAAGAACAAAUGUGUAAGUAACUAUGCACGUCUUGACGGUACCUAAUCAGAAAGCCACGGCUAACUACGUG
rnacentral:rRNA from 1 species